GGGUUAGACUAAAGGGCCUAGUUAUAUUAUUAAGGUAAAAAGGUGGUUAAAUAUUUAAUUAGUGGUGGUUUUAUAACUAUACUAUAGAAAAGUGAAAUUUGAAUAUAGAUAAAUAAAUCGAAAAUGACCAAAAUGCGUUGAAUCCACUAUAGCUUUGAGGGAAACUGGGAUUUGAUACCCCACUAUUCUUAGCUGUAAAUAAAUAUUAAGUUUACCAGAGCACUAUGAAUAUUAAAAUUUAAAACUCAAAGAGCUUGGCGGUGUUUUAGACUACUUAGGGGAACCUGUCUCGUAAUCGAUAAUCCACGGUAUACCUUACCUUUUGUUGAAAUCAGCUUGUACACCGUUGUCAUCAGGUAACUUUUUAGAAAAACUAAGUUAGCAACAAAAUUUAUAAUAAAUUUAAAUGUCAAAUCAAGGUGCAGCCAAUGAAAAGGAGAGGAUGGGUUACAAUUAAGAUUUAUAAAACGGAUCAAGCAAUGCAAUUUGCUUGUGAAGGAGGACUUAAAAGUAAUGCUAUAUAUAUAAAUAGUUUGAAUAAAGCUCUGAAAUGUGUACUAACCCCCG
rnacentral:rRNA from 1 species